rnacentral:rRNA from 1 species
UACAGAGGUCUCAAGCGUUGUUCGGAUUCAUUGGGCGUAAAGGGUGCGUAGGUGGGCUGGUAAGUCAGUGGUGAAAUCCCCGAGCUUAACUUGGGAACUGCCAUUGAUACUAUCAGUCUUGAAUACUGUGGAGGUUAGCGGAAUAUGUCAUGUAGCGGUGAAAUGCUUAGAUAUGACAUAGAACACCAAUUGCGAAGGCAGCUGGCUACACAAUUAUUGACACUGAGGCUCGAAAGCGUGGGGAUCAAACAGG